rnacentral:rRNA from 1 species
CCAGACUCCUACGGGAGGCAGCAGUGGGGAAUAUUGCACAAUGGGCGCAAGCCUGAUGCAGCGACGCCGCGUGGGGGAUGACGGCCUUCGGGUUGUAAACUCCUUUCGCUAGGGACGAAGCUUUUUGUGACGGUACCUAGAUAAGAAGCACCGGCUAACUACGUGCCAGCAGCCGCGGUAAUACGUAGGGUGCGAGCGUUGUCCGGAAUUACUGGGCGUAAAGGGCUCGUAGGUGGUUUGUCGCGUCGUCUGUGAAAUUCCGGGGCUUAACUCCGGGCGUGCAGGCGAUACGGGCAUAACUUGAGUACUGUAGGGGUAACUGGAAUUCCUGGUGUAGCGGUGAAAUGCGCAGAUAUCAGGAGGAACACCGAUGGCGAAGGCAGGUUACUGGGCAGUUACUGACGCUGAGGAGCGAAAGCAUGGGUAGCGAACAGGAUUAGAUACCCUGGUAGUCCAUGCCGUAAACGGUGGGCGCUAGGUGUGAGGGUCUUUUCACGACUUUCGUGCCGUAGCUAACGCAUUAAGCGCCCCGCCUGGGGAGUACGGCCGCAAGGCUAAAACUCAAAGGAAUUGACGGGGGCCCGCACAAG